ACUGUGGAGAGUCAGGAGAGCAGCUAUUGUGCAACUUUAGACCCCGUUUCUCGGGAGAGAUAUAAACAGAUAGUUAAAAAAUAUAUCGGACGUGAUCCGUAUUCUUUGAAAAUGUCCGAAUACACCACAGAAGUAAAGGAUUUGCCUACUAUCGAGGCUGUGGAUAUCACCAACUACUUGGUCCUCCAGACUUCUUACUACACUAGGCAGCAAAUGAAAGCUUUCAAGAGUCUGGAGGCGUACAAUUUUUUUGUCAGCGGGUGGGUCCACAACCUUGGAACAAAACGUCUCCGUGAUGGAUACAGUUUGGUGUUUGCAAGGCACAAUAUCUUACCUGGAUAAGUGAAUGUCUCAUUCACACUGAAGUCUUCUGGUUGUGGAUUCUCAGCUGGAAGCUGCAGUUCGGGGUUCUCCACUGUCACUAGGCUCAAAUCCGGGCUCUCAGCCGUCUGUUGCAUAUCCAAAAUCGCCUCUGCACAUCGAUGCUGUUCUGCCUUAAGCUUCAUUCUUUUCUCUCGUUUGAGAA